rnacentral:rRNA from 1 species
UACGGAGGAUCCAAGCGUUAUCCGGAUUUAUUGGGUUUAAAGGGUGCGUAGGUGGGCUAAUAAGUCAGAGGUGAAAGCUAGCAGCUUAACUGUUAAAUUGCCUUUGAUACUGUUAUUCUUGAGUAUAGUUGGCGUUGGCGGAAUGUGACAUGUAGCGGUGAAAUGCGUAGAUAUGUCACAGAACACCGAUCGCGAAGGCAGCUAACGAAACUAUCACUGACACUGAUGCACGAAAGCGUGGGGAGCAAACAGG